GUUGGGUCGACCCACGCCCGUGACGUCAGCGCGUUGCCGCUAGAGGCUCCGCCCCCAAUGCUAAGCUCCGCCCCCAAGCGGUGACUGCUUGGCUUGGCCCUUACCUGCGGGGUGGGCAGCAGGAAGGCUGCCUGUUUUAACUGCAAGGUCACUUUCGGACUGUGAGGAGGAACCUGGCCAACUUCAUAAUUUAGGGAAAUCUCCAGUGAAGACCACUAGUAACAUCAAAGCAUCUUUGAUCAAACAAUCUACAAACAAAUGGGGAAGAAAAAAACUUUGGAAAGAGAAAAGACUCCAGCAACAGAGAUUUGUGAGCAAAAUCGAAAGAAAUAAAACCUCCGAAGGAUGGAAUGGCCUGCCAGGACAAUCCCCAAUGGUUUGGGAAAAAUGGCAGAUGAAGAGCCCCCCAUUUUGAUAUUAAACUUGGCUCUCAACUAAUUAUGCAAAACCACA